rnacentral:rRNA from 1 species
UCGGGAAUUUUGGGCAAUGGGCGAAAGCCUGACCCAGCAACGCCGCGUGUGCGAUGAAGGCCUUUGGGUCGUAAAGCACUGUCGACCGGGACGAAAACUCACGGACUAAUACUUCGUGAGUCUGACGGUACUGGUAAAGGAAGCACCGGCUAACUCUGUGCCAGCAGCCGCGGUAAUACAGAGGGUGCAAACGUUGCUCGGAAUUAUUGGGCGUAAAGCGCGUGUAGGCGGCUUGUUAAGUUGGUUGUGAAAACCCAUGGCUCAACCAUGGAAGUGCGUCCAAAACUGGCAAGCUAGAGUUCUGACGAGGAUGGCGGAAUUCCCAGUGUAGAGGUGAAAUGCGUAGAUAUAGGAAGGAACACCAGUGGCGAAGGCGACCACCUGGACUGAUACUGACACUGAGGUGCGAAAGCGUGGGGAGCAAACAGGAUUAGAUACCCAAGUAGUCCCUGAGCGGGCUGGCAAGGCGCAU